rnacentral:rRNA from 1 species
CUCGGAGUUUGAUCCUGGCUCAGAUUGAACGCUGGCGAAAUGCUUUACACAUGCAAGUCGAACGGUAGAGGGGGCAACCCCUCGAGAGUGGCGAACGGGUGAGUAAUAUAUCGGAACGUGCCCAGUCGUGGGGGAUAACGUAGUGAAAAUUACGCUAAUACCGCAUACGAUCUAAGGAUGAAAGCGGGGGACUCGCAAGAGCCUCGCGCGAUUGGAGCGGCCGAUAUCAGAUUAGGUAGUUGGUGAGGUAAAGGCUCACCAAGCCGACGAUCUGUAGCUGGUCUGAGAGGACGACCAG